AUGGACCUGAGGAUAUUUUCUCCAAAUUAUUGACUAUGACUAUACAAUGUGCAAAUGUAAUCCCAUCAAGAUUCCAAGCCAGAAAUCUGAUCCAU
rfam:Hordeum vulgare subsp. vulgare, WGS project CAJW01000000 data, contig: morex_contig_574103